GAUGGACGCUAGCUACAGGCUUAACACAUGCAAGUCGAGGGGCAGCGCAGUGUAGCAAUACAUGGGCGGCGACCGGCGCACGGGUGCGUAACGCGUAUCCAACCUUCCCGUUACUCUUGGAUAGCCUUCCGAAAGGGAGAUUAAUACAAGAUGGUAUUCAAAUUCCGCAUGUUAUUUGAAUUAAAGAUUUAUCGGUAACGGAUGGGGAUGCGUGACAUUAGAUAGUAGGCGGGGUAACGGCCCACCUAGUCUACGAUGUCUAGGGGUUCUGAGAGGAAGGUCCCCCACACUGGAACUGAGACACGGUCCAGACUCCUACGGGAGGCAGCAGUGAGGAAUAUUGGUCAAUGGUCGGAAGACUGAACCAGCCAAGUAGCGUGAAGGAUGAAGGUUCUAUGGAUUGUAAACUUCUUUUAUACGGGAAUAAAACCUCCCACGUGUGGGAGCUUGUAUGUACCGUAUGAAUAAGCAUCGGCUAACUCCGUGCCAGCCGCCGCCGUAAAAC
rnacentral:rRNA from 1 species